rnacentral:rRNA from 1 species
CACGUGAGCAACCUGCCCCUGACUCCGGGAUAAGCGGUGGAAACGCCGUCUAAUACCGGAUACGACCCAUGGUCUCCUGACCGUGGGUGGAAAGUUUUUCGGUCGGGGAUGGGCUCGCGGCCUAUCAGCUUGUUGGUGGGGUAACAGCCUACCAAGGCGAUUACGGGUAGCCGGCCUGAGAGGGCGACCGGCCACACUGGGACUGAGACACGGCCCAGACUCNUACGGGAGGCAGCAGUGGGGAAUAUUGCGCAAUGGGCGAAAGCCUGACGCAGCGACGCCGCGUGGGGGAUGACGGCCUUCGGGUUGUAAACCUCUUUUACCACCAACGCAGGCUCCCAGUUCUCUGGGGGUUGACGGUAGGUGGGGAAUAAGGACCGGCUAACUACGUGCCAGCAGCCGCGGUAAUACGUAGGGUCCGAGCGUUGUCCGGAAUUAUUGGGCGUAAAGAGCUCGUAGGCGGCGUGUCGCGUCUGCUGUGAAAGACCGGGGCUUAACCCCGGUUCUGCAGUGGAUACGGGCAUGCUAGAGGUAGGUAGGGGAGACUGGAAUUCCUGGUGUAGCGGUGAAAUGCGCAGAUAUCAGGAGGAACACCGGUGGCGAAGGCGGGUCUCUGGGCCUUACCUGACGCUGAGGAGCGAAAGCAUGGGGAGCGAACAGGAUUAGAUACCCUGGUAGUCCAUGCCGUAAACGUUGGGCGCUAGGUGUGGGGACUUUCCACGGUUUCCGCGCCGUAGCUAACGCAUUAAGCGCCCCGCCUGGGGAGUACGGCCGCAAGGNUAAAACUCAAAGGAAUUGACGGGGGCCCGCACAAG